CAUGUCUCGCGCUAGAUCAACGAUACCAGUCAAGUCUAAUUAGUUAACCAGGAGACAUGCAUUACUUGGUUUUCGCAACGCUCCUGCUCAUCACUCAAUUUCUUCAAGUCCUCGCCGACUGCGGGCUCAAAGUCAAAACGAGCUUUCACGACAAAUCACCGCUGCUGCUGGAUCAUGAGCUGAAUUUCAUCUAUCCGCCGUCAAGCCAUCCAGAGUGGGUGAGAUUGCGAUGGUUUCAAGACCGCCUCGUCUACUGCCCGGGUGGGACCAUACAUCUCGGUGAGAAUCGGCAGUUGCUGGCGAGGGACGAAACACCCUACAAUUUGCCACCUGUUGUGCGCUGCAUCAAGGACGCCAUACUCGAAUUAGAGGACCAAGAUCACGUUCGAUUCAACUUGGAAUUUUUGUCGUGCAACGUUAAUCCCGAGGUCGUAGAUUGGGCCACUGGUGAGACUUGCGGCAGGGGCAGCGUACAACAUCUCGGCUUUCCACUUGAUUCGCAAAUCGCCAAGCCGUCGAUCAAGCUGUGCUACGUCAACGACGUGGCAACGACUACUUGGGCUUACAGCGUCAUACCGGCCGCGAUCGAAAACAGACAGGUCAUCAAGAGCAACAAGGAGACGUUCAGCAAAGGUAAGCUCUUCGAGGAUAUUACCGUGGCCAAGUACUACGUGGGCUGCGUACAAGUCGAGACUUUCAUGGACAUAUUUCGCGAAGAAGGCCAGGAUAGCUACGACAUGGACGACGGCAGAGAGCCGACCGAGGAAGAAAGAAAAAAGAAGCAGCAGCGAGAAGACGAGCUAAGAGACUAUGUUAGCCGAUACAUUCGUCCCAUGAUAGCGAAGAAAAAAAAGACAGAUCCUGAGGUCGACGACGACAAAAUGUCAGAUACGGAUGUCCCCGCCGCUGCCGCUGCCCCUGCUCCCGAUGCUUCAGACGACAAACUGCCUUUGAACUAUCUCGUGAAGGGUCACCUCAUAGCUAAAGCCGACAAGUUUUACGCAGCCGAGCAGUACGUGACGUAUUUCUACGCCAACGCCGUGCCCAUGUGGAACAGCAUCAAUAACGGCAAUUGGAAGCACAUGGAGGACAAGAUAGUGAGGCCAUUGGCGGCCACGAAGGGCGACAUCGAGGUUUGGGUCGGGGCUUUCGGAGUGCUUCGGCUCGAGGGUAAAGACAUUUAUCUGGGAAAACGCAAGAGGCAAGAGCAUCCGGUGAUGCCCGUGCCCAAGAUCCUAUUCAAGGUCGCCUACAGUCGGCAAUCGAAUCAAGGACUCGUCUUUUUGGCCGCCAACAAUCCGUAUCUGGAGGAUGCGCAGGUGGCCGAUUACAUAGUUUGUCCUGAGUAUCCUCGUUGUCGCGAGCUCCACGACAAAUUCAACAACAAGGACAAGGGCUUCAUGUACUGCUGCUCCAUACCUGACUUUUUAGCCAAUCCGGAGGUGCAGACUCUUGGCCUGCCGAUCGGCGUGCCCAACGACAUUGCCCCAAUUCUAUAAUGAUCCGAGGUGCGGUGGCGCAAGCACCGAACUCUAAGAGCCUGGCAUAAAAUGUUUCUUUCAAUUGCAUUAGUUCAUUCGUAUGCGUUGAUCUUUCUAUUUACUUUAUUCCGAUCAUUUUAUUCACAUGCUAUCUUGUUAUGUAUGCAUUGCAAAACAAGUUCGGAACACGCCUCGAUGAAUGAUAGCCAAAUAAGUAAAUUAAAAAAAAAAUACGUUCAUGAUUUUUUCAAACGAGUAUGCCGAGCUAGAAUAGUAUUUUUAUUUCUCAUUAUCAAUAGUCUGAACGCAGAUGUAACACGAGAAGCAAGCUUCGAUAUUGUUUUACCUUCGUGGAUAUUACAACUGCGCACUGAUUCGAUUAUGCCACUAAGUCAAGUUCAAGGAUGGAUUAUAUAAGUUUAUUUUCAUAUACAGUUUUUUCUUGCUCGCUCGAAUCCAGAAUAAUUUAACUACAUCUUUAGCAAGAUGCAAAUCAAUUACUUGAUUCUGCAUUGAAGAAACGGCAGUAGUAAUCAUGUUAAUAGAAGGAAAUUCUUGAAAUCAACAUAAGAUACACAAAAUCAGUAGAGGGGAUGACAGAAGAGUCGGCAGUUUAUUCAAUUUGGCGACUAAAUAACAGUUUUCCGUCGUAUUGAAAGCGGCUCGGAGCUAUUAAUUCGUUAAAGUGUUUCUGGUCAAAAACUAAAGUGAAACCAUGUCUCUCGAAUAUUGUGAGUUAAAAUUCCUCGAUGCCGUUGGUGCGCAAAAUUUAGAUUUAAUGGAAUCCUUAUUAAAAAGAGGUACCGACCCAAAUGCGGUUGUUAUCGAUUUUGACUGGACAGCUCUGCAUUUUAUAUGUUCUGAACAUAAGUUCACGAAGAUCCAUUUGAAAAUGAUUCAAUUUCUUAUCCAGUAUGGUGCCGACGUAAAUAUACAAGAUGAAGAUGGUAACAGUCCGAUGAUGAUUCUGUUUAAUAAGGAAUAUAAUGAAUCUAAUGAUAUGGGAUUACGCAUCGAGGCAUUGGAAUUACUACUGAAAAACGGAGCCGAUGUCACACUCGUCAACAACGAUAGUGAAACUAUAUUCAGAAAUAUUAUUCUUUGUAAUCCAGCAAAUCCAGACACUGCAGUGGCGCUUGAAGUGCUUUUGAAAAACGGCGCUGAUCCAAAUAUGGUUGAUGGCGAAGACAUGACAGCUCUGAAUUUUUUAUGCAAUCAACCUUGCUUUACAAAAGUCCACUUAAAAAUGAUUCAAAUUUUAAUUCAGUAUAAUGCCGACGUUAAUAUCCAAGAUCAAGGCGGUCACAGUCCUAUAAUGAAUUUAUUUCGUGGGGCAAAAAAUUACAAAUUACGCUUAGAAGUUUUCAAGUUAUUACUUGAAAACGGAACUGAUGUCACACUUGUCGACCACCGGGGUGAUACAAUAUUACAUAUUAUCUUUUACUACAAUGCAGCAAAUAAUCCAUUCCUUCUAGAAGCAGUUGAACUGCUGUUAAAAAGUGGAAUAGACGUAAAUAUCAAAAAUGAUGACGGAUAUUCUGCAUUUCAUGAAGCGAAUAGUUACUUGAAACACCGAAAAGUAAUCGAACUACUUUUGAAAAAUGGUGCCGAUCCGAAUGGGAUGGUUGACAAUAGCAUGCCACCUACAGAUUUUUUAAGUUUUUAUUGGCAAUCGAAAAUGGGGUGAGCGUGAAUAUACAAAAUGAAGUCAUCAAGUUUUUAGGCACUGUGGACUUAGUAUCUGUAUAUAAAGUAGUUAUAAAUUAUAAAUUUUCAAUCCGAUACACAUAUUGAUGUAAUUGUUAUAUAAGUUCAUCGUUGUAAACGAGUAAAAUGAAAACAUUGAAUGGUUCAACAGUCUCUCAUGUGAAAUCGUUCAUACAUGUAGACGACAAGUCAUAAUUAAAAUUUACAUGAAUUAUUAAAAAAAAAAUCAUACUUUUGCAUGCAA